UGGAGAAGAAACUUGCGAGGAUUCGCCUAGUAGCGGCGAGCGAACGGGGAACAGCCCAGCUUGAGAAGCGGGCGGCUGUGCCGUCCGAAUUGUAGUCUGGAGGCGCGUCCUAAGCGACGGGCCGGGCCCAAGUCCCCUGGAAAGGGGCGCCUGGGAGGGUGAGAGCCCCGUCCGGCCCGGACCCUGUCGCCCCACGAGGCGCGGUCAACG
rnacentral:ncRNA from 1 species